rnacentral:rRNA from 1 species
UACGUAGGGGGCGAGCGUUGUCCGGAUUCAUUGGGCGUAAAGAGCUCGUAGGCGGCUUGGCAAGCCGGGUGUGAAAACUCGAGGCUCAACCUCGAGACGCCGGUGGAAACCAUCAGACUAGAGUCCGGAAGAGGAGAGUGGAAUUCCUGGUGUAGCGGUGAAAUGCGCAGAUAUCAGGAAGAACACCCGUGGCUAAGGCGGCUCUCUAGUACGGUACUGACGCUGAGACGCGAAAGCGUGGGGAGCAAACAGG